rnacentral:rRNA from 1 species
CACGUAGGGUGCGAGCGUUGUCCGGAAUUAUUGGGCGUAAAGAGCUCGUAGGCGGUGUGUCGCGUCGGCCGUGAAAACUUGCAGCUUAACUGUGAGCUUGCGGUCGAUACGGGCAUCACUAGAGUUCGGCAGGGGGAGACUGGAAUUCCUGGUGUAGCGGUGAAAUGCGCAGAUAUCAGGAGGAAACACCAAUAGCGAAGGGCAGCUCGCUGGGGACGUUACUGACACUGAGGGCGCGAAAAGCGUGGGGG